rnacentral:rRNA from 1 species
AGGGGUUUGGAUCAUGGCUCAGAGCGAACGUUGGCGGCGUGCCUAAUACAUGCAAGUCGAGCGAGAAACUCCGGCUUCGGUCGGGGGAGUAAAGCGGCGCACGGGUGAGUAAUACGUAGACAACCUACCUUUCGGACGGGGUAAACCUCGGGAAACCGGGGCUAAUUCCCGAUGGUGUCGUCGGAUCUCCUGGUCUGACGACUAAAGGUUCGCGUAAGCGUCCUGCCGGAUGAGGGGUCUACGGCCUAUCAGGUUGUUGGUGAGGUAACGGCUCACCAAGCCAAAGACGGGUAGCCGGACUGAGAGGUCGGUCGGCCACACUGGAACUGAGACACGGUCCAGACACCUACGGGUGGCAGCAGUAGGGAAUAUUGCGCAAUGGUCGAAAGACUGACGCAGCGACGCCGCGUGAGGGAUUGAAAGCCUUCGGGUUGUAAACCUCUGUUUCCUCGGGAAGAACACUGACGGUACCGGGGGAGUAAGCACUGGCUAACUCCGUGCCAGCAGCUGCGGUAAGACGGUGAGUGCAAACGUUGCUCGGAUUUACUGGGCGUAGAGCGCAUGUAGGCGGAUUGGCAAAUCGGUCGUGGAAUCCUUCGGCCUACCCGAAGAACGGCGGUCGAAAAUACCAGUCUGGAGGGUGUCAGAGGAGAGCGGAAUUCCCGGUGGAGCGGUGAAAUGCGUAGAUAUCGGGAGGAACGCCGGAGGCGAAGGCGGCUCUCUGGGGCAUUCCUGACGCUGAAAUGCGAAAGCCAGGGGAGCAAACUGGAUUAGAUACCCAGGUAGUCUGGCUGUA